CCUAGACUGUACCGAAGCUUCAUGAGACCUCUCAUCGUCUGUGCACGGAUCAGUGGCUGACUCUGGAGCCCAGGUUGUUGCUUCCCAGUCUGGUGCUGAAUUCUCCAUAGUCUGGUGAGUGCGGUGUCUGACUCUGGAGCCCAGGCUCUUGCUUCCCAGUCUGGUGGUGAAUCCUCCAUAGUCUGCUUCUCUUUCUCCUGCAGGCUCCUUCACAACAGUGAGCAGAGGGACAAUGGAGGAACCAGCCAAACAUUUGCUUGAGCCUACGGCAGGAGACCAUCCAGAAAGAAGCUGGUGGUAGAGGGAUUCAUGGACAGCGCUGGAGCCAUCUGGUCUGGGGAGGCUUGAAGAGGAGGCAAGUGAAGGAGGCUCACAUAGGAUGUGUCUUAAGGUGUCCUUAAGAAGCUGAAAAUGUCAUGACUAACCUGCCAACAUGGUGAAACCCUGUCUUUACUAAAAAUACACAAACUAGCUGGGCAUCCUGGUUGGCACCUGUAAUCCCAGCUACUCGGGAGGCUGAGGCAGAAGAAUCACUUGAAUCCAGGAGGCGGAGGUUGCGGUGAGAGCUGAGAUCACGUCAUUGUACUCUAGCCUGAGGGACAAGAGUGAAAAAAUGGUCGUUUAAUCUAUCUAGGUCAGCGGAAAUAAUCAGAUGCAAAUGUCCACUGUAGUUUACAUUUUCUACUACUUCAAAACUUAAUAUGGGCACAUAUUUAGUUUCGUACUUCUUAUCCUCUAUAUGUUAUUUGACAAAAUAAAGCUAUUGUUCCGCCUUUAUAUAAACCUGCUGUCCAAAAAAAUGUGAAUACAAUUUUCAACAUUAAAG
rnacentral:lncRNA from 10 species